rnacentral:rRNA from 1 species
ACCCGCUGAACUUAAGCAUAUCAAUAAGCGGAGGAAAAGAAACCAACAGGGAUUGCCCUAGUAACGGCGAGUGAAGCGGCAAUAGCUCAAAUUUGAAAGCUGGCCUUCUGGUCCGCAUUGUAAUUUGUAGAGGAUGCUUUUAGGCAGCCGCCGGUCUAAGUUCCUUGGAACAGGACGUCAUAGAGGGUGAGAAUCCCGUAUGUGACCGGCUCUGGCACCUUCUGUAAAGCUCCUUCGACGAGUCGAGUUGUUUGGGAAUGCAGCUCUAAAUGGGAGGUAAAUUUCUUCUAAAGCUAAAUACUGGCGAGAGACCGAUAGCGCACAAGUAGAGUGAUCGAAAGAUGAAAAGCACUUUGGAAAGAGAGUUAAAAAGCACGUGAAAUUGUUGAAAAGGAAGCGCUUGCAAUCAGACUUGGCUUCGGUUGUUCAACAGGUCUUCUGACCUGCCUAUUCAAUCGUUGCCAGGCCAGCAUCAGUUUCGGCGGCCGGAUAAAGACCAUGGGAAUGUGGCCUCUCCUUCGGGGGAGGUGUUAUAGCCCAAGGUGUAAUACGGCCAGCUGGGACUGAGGUCCGCGCUUCGGCUAGGAUGCUGGCGUAAUGGUUGUAAGCGGCCCGUCUUGAAACACGG